UGGGGAAUUUUGGACAAUGGGCGAAAGCCUGAUCCAGCAAUGCCGCGUGUGUGAAGAAGGCCUUCGGGUUGUAAAGCACUUUUGUCCGGAAAGAAAUCCUUGGCUCUAAUACAGUCGGGGGAUGANGGUACCGGAAGAAUAAGCACCGGCUAACUACGUGCCAGCAGCCGCGGUAAUACGUAGGGUGCAAGCGUUAAUCGGAAUUACUGGGCGUAAAGCGUGCGCAGGCGGUUUGCUAAGACCGAUGUGAAAUCCCCGGGCUCAACCUGGGAACUGCAUUGGUGACUGGCAGGCUAGAGUAUGGCAGAGGGGGGUUAGAAUUCCACGUGUAGCAGUGAAAUGCGUAGAGAUGUGGAGGAAUACCGAUGGCGAAGGCAGCCCCCUGGGCCAAUACUGACGCUCAUGCACGAAAGCGUGGGGGAGCAAACAGGAUUAGAUACCCUGGUAGUCCACGCCCUAAACGAUGUCAACUAGUUGUUGGGGAUUCAUUUCCUUAGUAACGUAGCUAACGCGUGAAGUUGACCGCCUGGGGAGUACGGUCGCAAGAUUAAAACUCAAAGGAAUUGACGGGGUCAUAGCUGUUU
rnacentral:rRNA from 1 species